GGGCCCAUAGCUCAGCCGGAAGAGCAGCCGGCUCAUAACCGGUCGGUCCCAGGUUCGAGCCCUGGUGGGCCCACCA
rnacentral:tRNA from 1 species